UACGGCGGUCAUAGUGUCGAGGAAACGCCCGGCUCCAUUCCGAACCCGGAAGCUAAGCUUGAUCGCGCCGAUGGUACUGCACUCGGGAGGGUGUGGGAGAGUAGGUCGCCGCCGGAC
rnacentral:rRNA from 1 species